rnacentral:rRNA from 1 species
GAUGAACGCUGGCGGCGUGCCUAAUACAUGCAAGUCGAGCGAACGGACGAGAAGCUUGCUUCUCUGAUGUUAGCGGCGGACGGGUGAGUAACACGUGGAUAACCUACCUAUAAGACUGGGAUAACUUCGGGAAACCGGAGCUAAUACCGGAUAAUAUUUUGAACCGCAUGGUUCAAAAGUGAAAGACGGUCUUGCUGUCACUUAUAGAUGGAUCCGCGCUGCAUUAGCUAGUUGGUAAGGUAACGGCUUACCAAGGCAACGAUGCAUAGCCGACCUGAGAGGGUGAUCGGCCACACUGGAACUGAGACACGGUCCAGACUCCUACGGGAGGCAGCAGUAGGGAAUCUUCCGCAAUGGGCGAAAGCCUGACGGAGCAACGCCGCGUGAGUGAUGAAGGUCUUCGGAUCGUAAAACUCUGUUAUUAGGGAAGAACAUAUGUGUAAGUAACUGUGCACAUCUUGACGGUACCUAAUCAGAAAGCCACGGCUAACUACGUGCCAGCAGCCGCGGUAAUACGUAGGAGGCAAGCGUUAUCCGGAAUUAUUGGGCGUAAAGCGCGCGUAGGCGGUUUUUUAAGUCUGAUGUGAAAGCCCACGGCUCAACCGUGGAGGGUCAUUGGAAACUGGAAAACUUGAGUGCAGAAGAGGAAAGUGGAAUUCCAUGUGUAGCGGUGAAAUGCGCAGAGAUAUGGAGGAACACCAGUGGCGAAGGCGACUUUCUGGUCUGUAACUGACGCUGAUGUGCGAAAGCGUGGGGAUCAAACAGGAUUAGAUACCCUGGUAGUCCACGCCGUAAACGAUGAGUGCUAAGUGUUAGGGGGUUUCCGCCCCUUAGUGCUGCAGCUAACGCAUUAAGCACUCCGCCUGGGGAGUACGACCGCAAGGUUGAAACUCAAAGGAAUUGACGGGGACCCGCACAAGCGGUGGAGCAUGUGGUUUAAUUCGAGGCAACGCGAAGAACCUUACCAAAUCUUGACAUCCUUUGACAACUCUAGAGAUAGAGCUUUCCCCUUCGGGGGACAAAGUGACAGGUGGUGCAUGGUUGUCGUCAGCUCGUGUCGUGAGAUGUUGGGUUAAGUCCCGCAACGAGCGCAACCCUUAAGCUUAGUUGCCAUCAUUAAGUUGGGCACUCUAAGUUGACUGCCGGUGACAAACCGGAGGAAGGUGGGGAUGACGUCAAAUCAUCAUGCCCCUUAUGAUUUGGGCUACACACGUGCUACAAUGGACAAUACAAAGGGCAGCGAAACCGCGAGGUCAAGCAAAUCCCAUAAAGUUGUUCUCAGUUCGGAUUGUAGUCUGCAACUCGACUACAUGAAGCUGGAAUCGCUAGUAAUCGUAGAUCAGCAUGCUACGGUGAAUACGUUCCCGGGUCU